rnacentral:rRNA from 1 species
GAUAAACGCUGGCGGCGUGCCUAACACAUGCAAGUCGAACGAUCCCGCAAGGGAGAGUGGCGGAAGGGUGAGUAACACGUGGGAAUCUACCUCCUCGCAGGGAACAACCUCUCGAAAGAGAGGCUAAUACCCAAAAGGGUCAGAAAUGAUCAGAGUCGAAAGGCGUGAGGAGAGGAGCCCGCGGCCCAUCAGCUAGUUGGUGAGGUAAUGGCUUACCAAGGCAACGACGGGUAGGGGAUCUGAGAGGAUGUCCCCCACACUGGAACUGAAACACGGUCCAGACGCCUACGGGUGGCAGCAGUGAGGAAUAUUGGACAAUGGGCGAAAGCCCGAUCCAGCAACGCCGCGUGGAGGAUGAAGGCCUUCGGGUCGUAAACUUCUUUAGAGGGAGACGAGAAAGGACGGUAUCCCUAGAAUAAGCGACGGCAAACUACGUG